rnacentral:rRNA from 1 species
UACGGAGGGAGCUAGCGUUGUUCGGAAUUACUGGGCGUAAAGCGCACGUAGGCGGCUUUGUAAGUUAGAGGUGAAAGCCCGGGGCUCAACCCCGGAAUUGCCUUUAAGACUGCAUCGCUUGAAUCCAGGAGAGGUGAGUGGAAUUCCGAGUGUAGAGGUGAAAUUCGUAGAUAUUCGGAAGAACACCAGUGGCGAAGGCGGCUCACUGGACUGGUAUUGACGCUGAGGUGCGAAAGCGUGGGGAGCAAACAGGG